AUUACUGCUGCAUGCGUGCAAGUCCUGUUUCUACGAUAUCAAAGGAUCAAGAUCUGUGACAGAAAUCAGAAUGAAACUCAAGUCUGGUAUCUUCCAUUGUCUGAGCUCCGCGAUAAUUAUAAGGAUCGUCACAAGAGGAGCCUAUACUAGCAGAAACCAAACAGUAAAACGGUCGUCUAUUGUUCUGACUGGAGAUGAUAUUCCAACAAUAUUUGAGAAGCUGAGAAGUGCCAGAAAAAAUUGGUUCAACUUGGGAAUGGCUCUCGGGGUGAGCUAUUACGAGUUGGAGAAUAUUCAAGAUCGAUAUACCAAGAUAACGAACGCCGCCUAAUGAAGAUGGUAGCCAAGCGUCUUGAAGUCACUGAUCCAGAACAUCCGAUGACAUGGCCUUACAUAUGUGAAUGUCUAAGGAGGCCUAUAUACUGUUGAGCGUAACGAUGUAGCCGAGGAAAUUGAAGACAAGUAUGUGAGGACAGCAACUGCAGUUGCUCAUAGUGCCACCAAUUGAUUAGGAGAACCUGACAAGAUACUGGAGUUACUUGAAAAGGGACAAUCGAGUAAAGAAGCAUGCAAGAAUGUCAAGUAAAGAACUAACUCUGUGUUGACUAUAAGUACUGACUAUUAUAAUGCUCUGUGUUCUGUGUGUGUGUGCAUACAUGUAUAUAAUUAUACCAUCACCUUCUAUUUUUAUACUUUUUUGGCAAAAUUUCAUUUCCAGCUUUCUAGAUUA